GAUUACAGGCGUGAGAGCCACGGCACCCGACCGUGGCGCCAUUUUGAACAAGCUUGGGAGGGGUUUGAAAAUGCCUUUCUUGAACCUGUCCUUGCAGAGGGUGUUGCCACUGACAUUGCAGCAACAGGAGAUGGAGACCAUCCUGGCUAACACGGUGAAACCCCAUCUCUACUAAAAAUACGAAAAACAAAAUUAGCUACUC
rnacentral:lncRNA from 1 species